rnacentral:rRNA from 1 species
AGAGUUUGAUCCUGGCUCAGAACGAACGCUGGCGGCGUGGAUAAGACAUGCAAGUCGAACGAGAGAAUUGCUAGCUUGCUAAUAAUUCUCUAGUGGCGCACGGGUGAGUAACACGUGAGUAACCUGCCCCCGAGAGCGGGAUAGCCCUGGGAAACUGGGAUUAAUACCGCAUAGUAUCGAAAGAUUAAAGCAGCAAUGCGCUUGGGGAUGGGCUCGCGGCCUAUUAGUUAGUUGGUGAGGUAACGGCUCACCAAGGCGAUGACGGGUAGCCGGUCUGAGAGGAUGUCCGGCCACACUGGAACUGAGACACGGUCCAGACACCUACGGGUGGCAGCAGUCGAGAAUCAUUCACAAUGGGGGAAACCCUGAUGGUGCGACGCCGCGUGGGGGAAUGAAGGUCUUCGGAUUGUAAACCCCUGUCAUGUGGGAGCAAAUUAAAAAGAUAGUACCACAAGAGGAAGAGACGGCUAACUCUGUGCCAGCAGCCGCGGUAAUACAGAGGUCUCAAGCGUUGUUCGGAAUCACUGGGCGUAAAGCGUGCGUAGGCUGUUUCGUAAGUCGUGUGUGAAAGGCGCGGGCUCAACCCGCGGACGGCACAUGAUACUGCGAGACUAGAGUAAUGGAGGGGGAACCGGAAUUCUCGGUGUAGCAGUGAAAUGCGUAGAUAUCCGAGAGGAACACUCGUGGCGAAAGGCGGGUUCCUGGACAUUUACUGACGCUGAGGCACGAAGGCCAGGGGAGCGAAAGGGAUUAGAUACCCCUGUAGUCCUGGCGUAAACCGGGCACCCUUGGUGUGGGGGGAAUCGACCCCCUGCGUGCCGGAGCUAACGCGUUAAGCGUGCCGGCCUGGGGGAGUACGGUCGCAAGAUUAAAACUCAAAGAAAUUGACGGGGACCCGCACAAGCGGUGGAGUAUGUGGCUUAAUUCGAUGCAACGCGAAGAACCUUACCUGGGCUUGACAUGUAAUGAACAACAUGUGAAAGCAUGCGACUCUUCGGAGGCGUUACACAGGUGCUGCAUGGCCGUCGUCAGCUCGUGUCGUGAGAUGUUUGGUUAAGUCCAGCAACGAGCGCAACCCCUGUUGCCAGUUACCAGCACGUGAAGGUGGGGACUCUGGCGAGACUGCCCAGAUCAACUGGGAGGAAGGUGGGGACGACGUCAGGUCAGUAUGGCCCUUAUGCCCAGGGCUGCACACGUACUACAAUGCCCAGUACAGAGGGGGCCGAAGCCGCGAGGCGGAGGAAAUCCUAAAAACUGGGCCCAGUUCGGAAAGUAGGCUGCAACCCGCCUACACGAAGCCGGAAUCGCUAGUAAUGGCGCAUCAGCUACGGCGCCGUGAAUAAAUUCCCGGGUCUUGUACUCACCGCCCGUCA